AGCAGUCGCCGCGGUAAUACGUAGGGUGCGAGCGUUAAUCGGAAUUACUGGGCGUAAAGCGUGCGCAGGCGGUUAUAUAAGACAGAUGUGAAAUCCCCGGGCUCAACCUGGGACCUGCAUUUGUGACUGUAUAGCUAGAGUACGGUAGAGGGGGAUGGAAUUCCGCGUGUAGCAGUGAAAUGCGUAGAUAUGCGGAGGAACACCGAUGGCGAAGGCAGCCCCCUGGGCCAAUACUGACGCUCAUGCACGAAAGCGUGGGGAGCAAACAGGAUUAGAUACCCCCGUAGUCCCUGUCUCUUAUAC
rnacentral:rRNA from 1 species